UACAGAGGGGGCAAGCGUUAUUCGGAAUUAUUGGGCGUAAAGGGCGCGUAGGCGGCUUUCAAGUGGCGGGUGAAAGCCCUCGGCUUAACCGAGGAACUGCCUGCCAGACUGGAUCGCUUGAGACCGGGAGAGGUGAGUGGAAUUCCCAGUGUAGCGGUGAAAUGCGUAGAUAUUGGGAGGAACACCAGUGGCGAAGGCGGCUCACUGGACCGGUACUGACGCUGAGGCGCGAAAGCGUGGGGAGCAACAGG
rnacentral:rRNA from 1 species